ACGAAAGAGGCGAGGGAGUGGAGGAGGCAGGAGGCGACGGAUCCGAGGCAGCGGCGGAGAUAAGGGGAUUUUCUUGAAUUGCAUUUGGUUACUAUGGAUGCGUUUUUACUGAAAUAUAGGGAUGGGGGAUCCUCAUGUGUUCUGUGCUUCAUAGUCCCUUUUUAUGUUGGGUCUUUUCGGGCUCUUAAGCGGAUUUCACUUCAAUUUCGUAUAUCUUUUGUAUCAAGACGUCAUGAGGACAACUCUAUAUCCUGGGAUACAGAUAUCUAGCGACUAUAAAAAGUGCGAUAGCCUAUUAAUUUAUAAUAAAAUAUACAAGACAAACUACUU
rnacentral:sRNA from 1 species